rnacentral:lncRNA from 1 species
CCAAUUUGGUCCGAUUCGAGGGCGGCGUGCGCGACCGCCGAACGGACAGAGUCUCCCCUGUCCGCCCAAGGCUAAGCAUCGGAUUGUGUACAACAAGUCCCCAAGAAAACAACUUGCAUUCAUACACAAUCAACAACGAAACGAAAGCACAAACAGUGCUAUAACCAACUAGAGCAAGCGAUACAAGUAAAAUCAUACAAGUAUACAAAAGAGAGAAACUUAACUAUUUACACAUAUUUGAAACAUCAAACCUCUUUCGAUAUCAUUUAAACUUUAAACAUUUAAUACAACUUGCAUUCUUUUUCCAAAUGAAUAUACAUCAUAAACUCUCCAAAACCUCACCCUAUACAUCAUCUACUCUCAAAGCAUAACCAAAAGUACAGGGUAUAGAGCUAAUGCAAGUAGGUGAAGGAAGCUAUCUAUCAAAGCUAGGGCGCUAUGCCCUUACCGCGAUCCAUCGACGAAGGCCCGCUGUCCUGUGUACCUGUACUCCCAAAACCACACGGGAGUGAGAACUACGAAUAGUUCCCAGUGGGUUCGGCCGCCGACUCCGCCGAUCUACCCACUAGGUCUCAAGCAGGCAUAG